rnacentral:rRNA from 1 species
UCCUGACUGACCGAUAGUGAACCAGUACCGUGAGGGAAAGGCGAAAAGAACCCCGGCGAGGGGAGUGAAAAAGAACCUGAAACCGUGUACGUACAAGCAGUGGGAGCACGCUUAGGCGUGUGACUGCGUACCUUUUGUAUAAUGGGUCAGCGACUUAUAUUCUGUAGCAAGGUUAACCGAAUAGGGGAGCCGAAGGGAAACCGAGUCUUAACUGGGCGUUAAGUUGCAGGGUAUAGACCCGAAACCCGGUGAUCUAGCCAUGGGCAGGUUGAAGGUUGGGUAACACUAACUGGAGGACCGAACCGACUAAUGUUGAAAAAUUAGCGGAUGACUUGUGGCUGGGGGUGAAAGGCCAAUCAAACCGGGAGAUAGCUGGUUCUCCCCGAAAGCUAUUUAGGUAGCGCCUCGUGAAUUCAUCUCCGGGGGUAGAGCACUGUUUCGGCAAGGGGGUCAUCCCGACUUACCAACCCGAUGCAAACUGCGAAUACCGGAGAAUGUUAUCACGGGAGACACACGGCGGGUGCUAACGUCCGUCGUGAAGAGGGAAACAACCCAGACCGCCAGCUAAGGUCCCAAAGUCAUGGUUAAGUGGGAAACGAUGUGGGAAGGCCCAGACAGCCAGGAUGUUGGCUUAGAAGCAGCCAUCAUUUAAAGAAAGCGUAAUAGCUCACUGGUCGAGUCGGCCUGCGCGGAAGAUGUAACGGGGCUAAACCAUGCACCGAAGCUGCGGCAGCGACGCUUAUGCGUUGUUGGGUAGGGGAGCGUUCUGUAAGCCU